GACGAACGCUGGCGGCGUGCUUAACACAUGCGAGUCGAACGGAAAGGCCCUGCUUUUGUGGGGUGCUCGAGUGGCGAACGGGUGAGUAACACGUGAGUAACCUGCCCUUGACUUUGGGAUAACUUCAGGAAACUGGGGCUAAUACCGGAUAGGAGCUCCUGCUGCAUGGUGGGGGUUGGAAAGUUUCGGCGGUUGGGGAUGGACUCGCGGCUUAUCAGCUUGUUGGUGGGGUAGUGGCUUACCAAGGCUUUGGCGGGUAGCCGGCCUGAGAGGGUGACCGGCCACAUUGGGACUGAGAUACGGCCCAGACUCCUACGGGAGGCAGCAGUGGGGAAUAUUGCACAAUGGGCGGAAGCCUGAUGCAGCAACGCCGCGUGCGGGAUGACGGCCUUCGGGUUGUAAACCGCUUUCGCCUGUGACGAAGCGUGAGUGACGGUAAUGGGUAAAGAAGCACCGGCUAACUACGUG
rnacentral:rRNA from 1 species